CCUGUGUCUCACCUGAGAAAUGCGAGAGGACCGUCACUUUCCUCCUCCUGCAGCUGCAGGGAGAGGACGCCCCUCCCGGUGCGGGGCCGUGGGGGCGGGGACGGCGGGCAGGAGCCCGAGCUGGGGCGUGGGCGUCCGUGCGACUGCUGAGUCGCACCCAGGCGUUGUGAUUUUAGAAAACUUCAGAGUUCUGAGACAAAAGGCAGAACCGUCCGUCAAGAGCCGUGGUCCUUCAGAAGGCAACUUUACACCACAGCCGUGGGAUUCCGUGGGGAGGUCGCAGUGUGGACAGAAGACCCAGCAGUAGCACCAAAGGCUUCCGGACUCCUGAGAGGCCCUGGAGGGUGCAGCCUUCGGGAGGAGGCUGAGGCAAGCCCACACAUCUGAGGCACAGGAAUUGUGUCCUUCAGUUUGGUGAAUUCUUCCAUCUGGAUGCUGUGGAAAGAAGAAUGUGCUUCCAUGAGAACCUGAUGAAAAGCAUUUUCCUCCUUCGAAUCAGACCUUGAACUCCUGGCCUGAACAUCAAAUGGCAUAUUGGAUGUUUCUUCCUGGAAGAGCCUCUGAUUGAACAUG
rnacentral:lncRNA from 1 species